rnacentral:rRNA from 1 species
UAGCACGAAGUCAGACAAG